UCAAAGGUUUGAGGCGUUAGAUUCACUUCGCAGCAAAGGAAACAUUGGUCUCAUCUACCACGCAAACGCUGUAAUGAGAAGAAUCAAGGAAGCAUGGAAGUUAUACUACAAUAAGUCGAGGGUUCAGAUUGAAAACUACGAACUCGAGAUCAUUGACGCCCCAAAACAGGCUGUAAGCACAAAUAGGAGUGUGCACUGUGGCUUCUACAUGCUGGAAUAUCUUGAUAAGUGGGAUGGUGUAAAUGUGCCUCGAAUUCGGAAAGAGGACAUCCAAAAAAUAAAGAAGAUAACAGCCAACAAAUGGCUCAACGCUCCUUUCAACAAAAACAAAAAGUGGAAACAGCAGCUUGACAGCAACUGCCCAGGAGGUAAGUAAAACACAAUGUAUGAACUAGUACGUUUUUUAUUUUGGAGGUAAGUAACUCA